AGUGAACGCUGGCGGUAGGCCUAACACAUGCAAGUCGAACGGCAGCACAGUAAGAGCUUGCUCUUACGGGUGGCGAGUGGCGGACGGGUGAGGAAUACAUCGGAAUCUACUUUUUCGUGGGGGAUAACGUAGGGACACUUACGCUAAUACCGCAUACGACCUACGGGUGAAAGCAGGGGAUCUUCGGACCUUGCGCGAUUGAAUGAGCCGAUGUCGGAUUAGCUAGUUGGCGGGGUAAAGGCCCACCAAGGCGACGAUCCGUAGCUGGUCUGAGAGGAUGAUCAGUCACACUGGAACUGAGACACGGUCCAGACUCCUACGGGAGGCAGCAGUGGGGAAUAUUGGACAAUGGGCGAAAGCCUGAUCCAGCCAUACCGCGUGGGUGAAGAAGGCCUUCGGGUUGUAAAGCCCUUUUGUUGGGAAAGAAAAGCAGCAGGUUAAUACCCCGCUGUUCUGACGGUACCAAAAGAAUAAGCACCGGCUAACUUCGUG
rnacentral:rRNA from 1 species